UUGGAACGUCACGUGACUGUCAUGGCGGCUCCCAGGCCUGGUAACACUGACCGAGGAUGGAAUGACCCUCCCCUCUUCGACUAUGGGGCUGCUGCUCAAAGCCAGGCCUCUCCUCGACGCUCUGCUCUCAACAAGAGAGAAGCGUGAUUCCAUGGCAACACCGCCUUCAGCUGGUGAUGGCACUAGUAUGGCUGCCAGCAUCCUGAAUCCAGCUGAAGGUCCUCCCAAGCUGUGGGAAAUGUACAACUAUU